rnacentral:lncRNA from 1 species
AACUAUCAGGGUACUUUGGAACUAUCUUCUUUCUUAUUGAUGGUUGUUUUGCUUAUUGAUGGUCGUUUUGUUAUUCUAUCUCUUUGCUUCACAUUUCGGAUCUUCGAGGUACCGUCUCCUGCGCUGAAUUCCGGCUUCCGACCUGACGCCUGGGCGACGAGACCGAGGGAAAGCAGAUUCUCCUGAGCGCUGGCUGAGUGAACACUACCUAGACUCACCUCUGCCUCCGGAAGUAUUCUUUUGUGAAGUCUUAAUCACCACUCGCUUUGGGGGGCUUGAACCAGUCUCCUGGCAGCCUUGUCUAGCCAGCUUUUGUCCAAGAGUAGCUCUUGGUUGAACCCCAUAUUACUCGGGUUUGCUGGUGGAUCUGUUUCCACCCCUGUUUCAAUCCUGGUCACUGCUGGAUACCGCUGUACCUACUCUCCACUCUUACACCCUGCUCCAUUCCUGGUCACCGCUGGAUACCGCUCCAACAAGAACAAGUGGAAGGCGGACGUUGGUCAUCCCUGCAGUGUUGCCUGGUGCUGUCUUUUGCCAUGAGUGUCCACUGUCAGGUCUUCUCGCACUCUAAGACUAGAGGGUUGGCAUCCCUGAAGAAAUACUCUCGUUCGUGGGACGCAGUAUGUCACAACUGACAGGUGAGCUCCAUAAGCUUCUGGGAGUAAAGCCGCUCGUCACCACACCGUACCACCUAAGUGGUGCUGGAAGAGUGGAAAGGUUCCAUUCCACUCUGAAGGCGUGCUUCUGGAAACUGCUCUGAAAAACCGCGUGAGUGGCACCGUUAUCUUCCUGCCACCUUGUUCUCUUCGAGGGAGAUGCCAAGUGACUGGGACAGGAUUCUCCUCUUCAGAGCUGCUUUACGGUAACGCGGAGGACCUCUUGCAGUUUUACGAAAUCCCUGGAGAUGCCAAGUGACCGGGACCGUAUUCUCCUCUUUAGAGCUCCUUUACGGAGUGCUUUACGGUAAGGCGGAGGACCUCUUGCAGUUCUACAAAAUCCCCGAGAUGAUAGUUUGUUUCCAAUAUGUAAUAGAGCUGAAAGACCAAUUAGCUGAAUGCUCCCGAGAAUGUUAACAUCAGUGCUACUAGGUAUAAAGCAUAUUUUGACGAAAUCACAAGAGUGGAACUUCAGACCUGGAGAUGAAGUCCUGGUGCUCCUGCCUGUCACUACCAACAAGCUCCUGAUGACCUAGGCUGGCCCACAUACCGUACUUAAGGAGAACCAGCUGUAACUAAUUGAUGAAAACGGUAAGCCUAAAUCUUGAGUAAAUCUUCUAAUUGCUCCCCAGUUAUGGUAAGUUUCAAGGGAGUAUUUAUUUCGGUGAGAUUGAUCUAACUAAAGCCUAUUAUCAGAUUCCACUCACUGAUAGCACUAAGCCACUUACUGCCUUUCCCACUCACAAAAGACUAAUGAAGUUUUGCUGGCACCCAUUUGGUUUAGUUGCAGCCUGUGCCACUUACAUCAGAUUAAUGAAGUUCGUCUUCGCACGACUAACAGGAGUAUCUUUCUACUUGGAUAAUAUUUUCAUCUAUGGAACAACCUGGACAGAACACAUCACUGCCCUCAAGUCCGUACUUUGGCAUCUUCAAGAACACGGCCUCACUGCUCGAGUAUCGAAGUGUCGAUUCUGGUUUGGAUCCAUUCAUCUGGGCUUCAUUGUGGAUGGUAAGACGCUUCGUCCUCAAAAUGAUAGUCUCUGCCAUUUCUUCUUGUAGUCCUCCAAGUACCAAAAAGCUACUUCGAUCUUCCUUGGGUAUGGUAUCUUUUUAUUGAGACUUUAUCCCCCAGACUUCCUCCUACAUAAGUUGUCUGUCUGACCUUGCCCGCAAAGGCAUCACCGAACCACUAGUCUGGAUCUUAAGGCUACCGGAUUCCACUCAUUCUUUCAUGCUACGAACGGAGGCUUCAAACCACGGGCUAGGAGCAGUCCUGCUUCAAUAUGUGGACGGCUGGCCUCUCCUUGGGAUAAUGUACCCGUGUGCUGCCAGGGACGUUUGUGUGAAGUGGAUGGGCGUGGUACCAGCGCUAGAGCAGCUACCUCUCUAAGUGGCGACCAACGUCCAUAUAAUUCGAGUGUGUUGUAUUAGUGAUUUUCUUUCAUUAAAGUGGUGCUUUGUUA